rnacentral:rRNA from 1 species
UACAGAGGUCCCAAGCGUUGUUCGGAUUCAUUGGGCGUAAAGGGUGCGUAGGCGGCGCGGUAAGUCGGGUGUGAAAUCUCGGGGCUUAACUCCGAAACUGCAUUCGAUACUGCCGUGCUUGAGGACUGGAGAGGAGACUGGAAUUUACGGUGUAGCGGUGAAAUGCGUAGAUAUCGUAAGGAAGACCAGUGGCGAAGGCGGGUCUCUGGGCCACUACUGACGCUGAGAAGCGAAAGCAUGGGGAGCGAACAGG